AAUUGAAACACCAGUUUCCGUAUGAUCAGUGAAGUUAAGCAACAUCAAGCUUUGUCAGUACCUUGAUGGGUGACUGCUUGAGAAUACCAGUUGCUGUAAG